CAAGACCUUCCGGGCAGACAGAGCAGCACGUGCCCAGGGUGUAGAGGAGAGAGAGGCCCCGUGGGGCCGGGCGUGGGCCAGCAGCGAGGACAGAUGAUUCUUGGUGGUCUCUUUGGCUCCUGGAGGGGACUGGUGACCGGAAAGACCAAGCCACGAUUAGAAGCUUGAAACCUUCAUCUUCUGGGGAAGGGGAGGGGCUGGAGAGCGAAUUAAUAAUGGAUUGUGCCCACGUGAUGAAGCUCCAUAAAAAUCCCUGAAGUACAGGGAUCACCAGGGCAGGAACGCAUCACACCCCAGCUCCACGGGGACAGAAGCCCUGGCACUCUGGACCCUUCUGGACCUUGCCCGAAGUGCCUCUUCACCUGACUGCACGUCUGUGUCCAUCCUGGAAUACACUCGCCACAAAGAUGUUUCCCUGAGCUCUGGGACGCAGGUGAGACCCCCACUCUGGGAAGAACCCACAUACUGUGGGGGCAGCUAAGCCCACGCACCGCAACUACUGAGCCCGCAUGGCGCGAUUGCUGAAGCCGAGAUCUCUAGAGCCGCGCUCCGCAGCAAGAGAAGCCGCUGCAAGUGAGGAGCCCGUGCACGGCCACCAGAGUCGCGCCUGCUUGCCGCAGCUAGAGGAAGUCGUGCAGCGAUGAAGACCCAGCACAGCCGAAAAUAAAUAAACAAACCUUUGAAAACAAUACGUGUACAGAGAAGGAAUAUUUUCCUUUUCGGUUGGUAAUGGGCGGGGAGGAAAAGGCUGAAUCAAGAAUGACUUGAAUGGCUUGCGCAUCUGGGAGAACGGUGCCAUUUUCUGAGAUGGGGAGCCUGGAUCCCAGGGACUCUCAAGAUCCCCUAGUCUGCGACGCUGGCUGGGAGUCCAGGUCCCCAGCCCCCAAGCCUGCACCUUGGAAGCACAACUGAGGGGUGCGGGUGGGAAUCUCUCUCUCCCCAGGCUCCCGUGCAGAGGGGUGCCCCACUCCCAGCUGCCAACUGACUCCCCUAGAGCCUUCUGUCCUCCUGGCAGGAGAGCUGGGAGAGCCUCUGCACCCUGACUUACCCAGGAGCCAUUCACGAGCAAUAAUUAGCACCG
ensembl:lncRNA